ACUCCAAGAAAUUAGCUCUUGUUCCACUUAUUUUCAUAAUCUUUUUUGAGGUAUCUGGUGGACCUUAUGGUGCAGAAGCAGCAAUUGGGGCAGCUGGACCUCUUCUAGCAAUUCUUGGGUUUCUGAUUUUCCCAUUUAUAUGGAGUGUUCCUGAAGCUCUUGUAACAGCUGAACUUGCCACUACUUUUCCAGGUAAUGGAGGGUUUGUCAUUUGGGCUGA
rnacentral:misc_RNA from 1 species